GACGAACUGUCCUAACGUUGUUCGGAAUUACUGGGCGUAAAGGGCGCGUAGGCGGCCUUCUAAGUCGAACGUGAAAUCCCCGGGCUCAACCCGGGAACUGCGUCCGAUACUGGAAGGCUUGAAUCCGGGAGAGGGAUGCGGAAUUCCAGGUGUAGCGGUGAAAUGCGUAGAUAUCUGGAGGAACACCGGUGGCGAAGGCGGCAUCCUGGACCGGUAUUGACGCUGAGGCGCGAAAGCCAGGGGAGCAAACGGG
rnacentral:rRNA from 1 species